rnacentral:lncRNA from 1 species
CUAUGCUGGAGCAAGUGGCUCGGGAAGGCAGUGGUCUCAAAGUCCUAGCCAGCCUGUGCCAGGUGCUUGUGGUCAGUGGACCUUCAGUGGAGGAGCAUAGAGCAUUAGUUACUGGUGAAUUACAGAUGACCUUGGGAUGCACUCCUCUUGUGGUUUAGGACCUGCUGGCAGGAUCCUGACGUCGCGGCUUGUGACAGAAUGACCCACAAGAAGGUGCCCAACAGAUCCAGACCCAUGAUCUUGAACUUCCUACUCUUUAAACUAUAAGAAAUAAACCUCCAU